rnacentral:rRNA from 1 species
GCUACACGGUUUAAAAAUUAAAUGAAUCAAAAAUAAAGCUUGAAACAUCAAAAAGUUAAGUAAUGGAGAAAGAAAGUUAAUAAAAAUUUUAAAAAGUACUGUAAAGGAAAAAACCAAAUAUAAAAAAAUUAGUUUAGUUUUGCGUACUUUUUGCAUCACGGCUUAGCAAGAAGUAACCUGAGAUUUCAGAUUCUCGAAAGUUAGUCGAGCUAUUUUUUUCUGGGUAAGUUAGGCCCAAGAAAGUAAAACAAACUACUAAAAAUGUAGCAAAAUUUUAGUAAAAGAGAAAAAUAGAAAUGAAAUUUUAUUCGUGCUAACGAUAGCUAGUUUUCUUGGAAGCGUAUAGGAGUACGGAAGUAAGAUCAGGCUAUAAAAAUACUAGCUUUUAUAGCCUGCCUUAUAUAAAAUUCUUUUAAGGAUAAGCUUAAAAGUAGAUAGUAGUAAAUAUCUUUAAAUCUGUGAUGUGAGCCUGAGAUUAGCUAACAUUUUAAACUUGUUAUAAAGUAAUAUUAAAAAACAAAAAAAUAAAUAUAUUUUUACUCUAGUUUAUACAGGGACAAAAAAUGAAACCAUUUAAUUUAUUAGCUUAUGCUAAGAUGAGUAUUAAAACUAAAAUAUACCUUAAGAGUUUAACUAUUUUAAUUCUUAUUAACUAGAGUUUUACCUAAACUAAAUAAAAAGAAGGAACUCGGCAAAAUAAGUUGUUUCGCCUGUUUAUCAAAAACAUGGCUCUUCGUAGCAAAAAAAUGAAGAGUCGGACCUGCCCAGUGAAAAUUUUUAACGGCCGCGGUACUCUGACCGUGCAAAGGUAGCAUAAUCAUUUGCCUUAUAAUUGAAGGCUUGUAUGAAUGGUUUAACGAGAGCAACACUGUCUCCUUUUUAAUUAAUAGAAUUUAACCUUCAGGUGAAGAGGCCUGAAUUAAAUUGAAGGACAAGAAGACCCUGUUGAGCUUAAAAGAAAGGUAGAAAGUAAGCUAUUAGCUAUAAAUGCACUACUACUAUAAACUUUUUGGUUGGGGCGACUAAGGAACAAAAAAAGCUUCUUUACACAAAUAAAUUUAUAAAUAGUGAUCCAGUAAAUCUGAUUAAAAGAAUUAGUUACCACAGGGAUAACAGCAUAAUCUCUCUUGAGAGGCCUAAUCGAAAGAGGGGGUUGUGACCUCGAUGUUGGACUAGAAUAUCCUAAAGGCGCAGAAGUCUUUGAAGGUUGGUCUGUUCGACCAUUAAAAUUCUACAUGAUCUGAGUUC